AGCACUGUAGGUGUCAGCAGCCGCGGUAAUACGUAGGGGGCAAGCGUUGUCCGGAAUUAUUGGGCGUAAAGCGCGCGCAGGCGGUCAUUUAAGUCUGGUGUUUAAUCCCGGGGCUCAACCCCGGAUCGCACUGGAAACUGGGUGACUUGAGUGCAGAAGAGGAGAGUGGAAUUCCACGUGUAGCGGUGAAAUGCGUAGAUAUGUGGAGGAACACCAGUGGCGAAGGCGACUCUCUGGGCUGUAACUGACGCUGAGGCGCGAAAGCGUGGGGAGCAAACAGGAUUAGAUACCCUGGUAGUCCACGCCGUAAACGAUGAGUGCUAGGUGUUAGGGGUUUCGAUACCCUUGGUGCCGAAGUUAACACAUUAAGCACUCCGCCUGGGGAGUACGGUCGCAAGACUGAAACUCAAAGGAAUUGGCGGG
rnacentral:rRNA from 1 species